rnacentral:rRNA from 1 species
AUUGAACGCUGGCGGCAGGCCUAACACAUGCAAGUCGAGCGGCAGCGGGAAAGUAGCUUGAUACUUUUGCCGGCGAGCGGCGGACGGGUGAGUAAUGCCUGGGAAAUUGCCCAGUCGAGGGGGAUAACAGUUGGAAACGACUGCUAAUACCGCAUACGCACUACGGGGGAAAGCAGGGGACCUUCGGGGCUUGCGCGAUCGGAGAUGCGCAGGUGGGGUUAGGUAGUUGGUGAGGUAAUGCCACACCAAGGCGACGAUCCCUAGCUGGUAUGAGAGGAUGAUCAGCACCACUGGACCUGAGACACGGUCCAGACCCCUACGGGAGGCAGCAGUGGGGAAUAUUGCACAAUGGGGGAAACCCUGAUGCAGCCAUGCCGCGUGUGUGAAGAAGGCCUUCGGGUUGUAAAGCACUUUCAGCGAGGAGGAAAGGUUGAUGCCUAAUACGUAUCAACUGUGACGUUACUCGCAGAAGAAGCACCGGCUAACUCCGUGCCAGCCGCCGCAGUAAUAC